rnacentral:piRNA from 1 species
GUGGAACUUGAUGACCUGGAGAAGGACGA